rnacentral:rRNA from 1 species
AGCAGCCGCGGUAAUUCCAGCUCCAAUAGCGUAUAUUAAAGUUGUUGCAGUUAAAAAGCUCGUAGUUGAAUUUCGGGGUUAGUAGGUUGGUCAUGCCUCUGGUAUGUACUGAUCUCACUGAUUCCUCCCUCUUGACGAACUGUAAUGUCAUUAAUUUGGUGUUGCAGGAAAUCAGGACUGUUACUUUGAAAAAAUUAGAGUGUUUAAAGCAGGCUAAGGCUUGAAUACAUUAGCAUGGAAUAAUGAAAUAGGACGUUUGAUCCUAUUUUGUUGGUUUCUAGGAUUGACGUAAUGAUUAAUAGGGAUAGUUGGGGGCAUUAGUAUUCAAUUGUCAGAGGUGAAAUUCUUGGAUUUAUUGAAGACUAACUACUGCGAAAGCAUUUGCCAAGGAUGUUUUCAUUAAUCAAGAACGAAAGUUAGGGGAUCGAAGACGAUCAGAUACCGUCGUAGUCUUAACCAUAAACUAUGCCGACUAGGGAUCGGAUGAUGUUAAUUAUUUAAUGACUCA